CUCCUUAGGGUCUUGAACACGUAAAGGAAAAAGUGUCCUUGGCUAUUGAUUGGCCGGGGCUUCAGCCCAACUUCUGCCAUGGGACAUCCUGUGACCUUCCCUUCUUCCUCCCCCCAUCCCGCCCUCCAAAACAAUGUUUUGCAUCUCUGAGGAUCUCAUAGGUUUUCUCUUCCAGGUCCAAAGGGAAGAUCUUCCAUCCCUGCCCAGCCAUGACAAGCAUGGACGGUCACGUGACAUUCUUUCAUCAGUGCAUGGGGCUGCUUGUUAAUGCAGCCUUGCCUCGCUAAUGCUGACAGAUACAGGUGCUCACAGAUACCCCUUCCCACCACAAGGAGUCAGACCAGCAGAGAGCAGAGAAGUCUUCCAGCCACUAGCUGUGACCUGUCCAUUUUUCUUGUCUGUCUGUCUGUCUGUCUGCCUGACUGCCUUUCUGCCCUCCUGCUCCUCCUCCUUCUUAUCCUCCUCCUCUUCCUCCUUUUCUUCUUCCUCCUUCUCUCCCUCCUCCUUCUCUCCCUCUUUCUCCUCCUCCCCCUCCUCUUCCUCCCUAUCCUCCCCCUCCUCUCCCUCUCCCUCUGGCCCCCUCCUCUUUCUCCUUCUUCCUCCUCUUUCUCUUCUACCCAU
rnacentral:lncRNA from 1 species